rnacentral:tRNA from 1 species
GAGGAUAUAGCUUAGUGGUAGAGCAUGUGCUUAGUGUGCAUAAAGUCCCAGGGUCAAUCCCCAGUGCCUCCA